UACGUAGGGUGCGAGCGUUAAUCGGAUUUACUGGGCGUAAAGCGUGCGCAGGCGGCCCGUUAAGACAGGUGUGAAAUCCCUGGGCUCAACCUAGGAAUUGCGCUUGUGACUGGCGGGCUCGAGUACGGUAGAGGGGGGUGGAAUUCCUGGUGUAGCAGUGAAAUGCGUAGAGAUCAGGAGGAACACCGGUGGCGAAGGCGGCCCCCUGGGCCUGUACUGACGCUCAUGCACGAAAGCGUGGGGAGCAAACAGG
rnacentral:rRNA from 1 species